GAUGAACGCUGGCGGCGUGCCUAAUACAUGCAAGUCGAGCGAACAGACGAGGAGCUUGCUCCUCUGACGUUAGCGGCGGACGGGUGAGUAACACGUGGAUAACCUACCUAUAAGACUGGGAUAACUUCGGGAAACCGGAGCUAAUACCGGAUAAUAUAUUGAACCGCAUGGUUCAAUAGUGAAAGACGGUUUUGCUGUCACUUAUAGAUGGAUCCGCGCCGCAUUAGCUAGUUGGUAAGGUAACGGCUUACCAAGGCAACGAUGCGUAGCCGACCUGAGAGGGUGAUCGGCCACACUGGAACUGAGACGCGGUCCAGACUCCUGCGGGAGGCAGCAGUAGGGAAUCGUCCGCAAUGGGCGAAAGCCUGACGGAGCAACGCCGCGUGAGUGAUGAAGGUCUUCGGAUCGUAAAACUCUGUUAUUAGGGAUGAACAACUGUGUAAGUAACUAUGCACGUCUUGACGGUACCUGAUCAGAAAGCCACGGCUAACUACGUG
rnacentral:rRNA from 1 species